rnacentral:rRNA from 1 species
GCAAGUCGAACGGUAACAUGAAUAGCAAUAUUUGAUGACGAGUGGCGCACGGGUGCGUAACGCGUAUGCAAUCUACCUUUAACUGGUGAAUAGCCCGAAGAAAUUCGGAUUAAUACACCAUAGCAUAUUUGAAUGGCAUCAUUUAAAUAUUAAAACUCCGGUGGUUAAAGAUGAGCAUGCGUGACAUUAGCUAGUUGGUGAGGUAAUGGCUCACCAAGGCUACGAUGUCUAGGGGAUCUGAGAGGAUUAAC